CACGUAGGGCGCGAGCGUUGUCCGGAAUUAUUGGGCGUAAAGAGCUCGUAGGCGGCCUGUCGCGUCGGAUGUGAAAGCCCGGGGCUUAACCCCGGGUCUGCAUUCGAUACGGGCAGGCUAGAGUGUGGUAGGGGAGAUCGGAAUUCCUGGUGUAGCGGUGAAAUGCGCAGAUAUCAGGAGGAACACCAAUGGCGAAGGCAGGUCUCUGGGCCACAACUGACGCUGAGGAGCGAAAGCGUGGGGAGCGAACAGG
rnacentral:rRNA from 1 species